rnacentral:rRNA from 1 species
ACGCUCGACACCUACGGGAAGCAGCAGUGGGGGAUAUUGCACAAUGGGGGAAACCCUGAUGCAGCAACGCCGCGUGAAGGAAGAAGGUCUUCGGAUUGUAAACUUCUGUCCUCAGGGAAGAUAAUGACGGUACCUGAGGAGGAAGCUCCGGCUAACUACGUGCCAACAGCCGCGGUAAUCUGAGCGGGCUGGCAAGGC